rnacentral:lncRNA from 1 species
GCUCCAGUUGUGGUAUCUCAUCGUAUGGGGUGUUGGCAUUGAAGCCAAGCUCCAUGUUAUGCUAUUGAGUUUGGCCUUGUAAUGCCUCAAUCCACUGUUGCUUCUCCUGAAUUAUCCUCUCCACCUUGACAUCCCAAGUAGUAUAUGGAUCCUGGUGUUGAGGAAAGAAGCUGCCAAGGUGGAAUCUUUUCCUAACCAUAG